AUGUUUGUGGGCUCCACAGCAAGGGUAGGGAACUAUGGCACCAAACUUCAAGCAAUGGAUGUCAUCAGUGGCUCUCAUUUACUAUUCACCAUUAGCGCCUUGAUUUCCUUCCUUUCACACGUCUCCCAUCUUCCACAACCAACACCCUACCCAUGUUAUGAAUCAAGCCUGCCAAUGACAUCCAAGGACACUGCUGGCAGAACUUCAUUGAUUCAGUGUAAUAAGUUCCAAUUAUAUGCUCAGCCUUGGGCCAGAUGAUGAGGAUCUCAAUGCUAAGAGCAUUACUGUACACUGCUUCUGACAGACUGGAGACAAGACUUGCUUUUGAAGAAACUAAGUUCCAACCUGACUGAGAUUCUAGGGAAAUGAACCUGCUUUUAAACAUAUUCAAGUGACUUAGGCAGAUGCUCCUUAUUGCCUUUGUUUAAUCCUUUCCUUUCACUCAAAAAGGAUCAAGAUCUAGACUUCAGAGGAGCGUAACACCCGUCUAUCUAACAGCAAAAACAGUAUAAUGGCCUGGGAACGGUCUCCCAUUUCAUUCCCACCUUAAACUUACCUCCAGAUGAACGGACCUGGAAAGAAGCUCCCUCCAAAACCCUCAAAUGAUGCUCCAAGAUUUACUUUAUUCAAUGCAGUCUCUUCAGUCCCAUUCAAAACGCUCCAUCAGAGGUCCACGUGAACUUAUUUUCUAACUUUCACUCUUUUUCCGAAUGUGUAGCCCAAUUACAUUAGAAAAACGUACUACAGAUUUUCUCACACUCUCAUCUGUCCAGCUUUCAAGGCUUUGCUCUUUGCUCUUACCUUUUCCUCUGCCGGGAAUAUGGCCCCAGUCCCUGCUCUGGGCAAGUGUCUCAAGGUCUUCUAUAAUUUUCCCCAACCAAAAGUCAACUUGCAUUCCCUUGGAAUUUCCGCAGCAUUCAGCUCACAUCUGACCUUGUCCCACCUCGUGUUACUGGUAUUGGUCACAUUGCCUCAGUCCUUUUGCCAGAUUGCCUCACUCAAAGACACUGUCCUAUCGACUCUGUAACUCUAGCUACACGUAGCCGACUUAGUAAAGAAUCACUUGACGGGUAUAGGCUGACACUACAAAAACAUCCCUAAUUAGGAGAGCACCGACAACUCGAAAUACUCCGAUUCUUAUAAAUACUCCCUCCCGGCUACCAGCCGCCGCCGGCCGCCUGAAGCGACGCAGGAACAACACGGACGCGAGACGGCGACACCCACACGCCGAGCCGCGCGCUGGGCCGUCUAGGCCUCG
rnacentral:lncRNA from 1 species